rnacentral:rRNA from 1 species
GAUGAACGCUGGCGGCGUGCCUAAUACAUGCAAGUCGAGCGAACAGACGAGGAGCUUGCUCCUCUGACGUUAGCGGCGGACGGGUGAGUAACACGUGGAUAACCUACCUAUAAGACUGGGAUAACUUCGGGAAACCGGGGCUAAUACCGGAUAAUAUAUUGAACCGCAUGGUUCAAUAGUGAAAGACGGUUUUGCUGUCACUUAUAGAUGGAUCCGCGCCGCAUUAGCUAGUUGGUAAGGUAACGGCUUACCAAGGCAACGAUGCGUAGCCGACCUGAGAGGGUGAUCGGCCACACUGGAACUGAGACACGGUCCAGACUCCUACGGGAGGCAGCAGUAGGGAAUCUUCCGCAAUGGGCGAAAGCCUGACGGAGCAACGCCGCGUGAGUGAUGAAGGUCUUCGGAUCGUAAAACUCUGUUAUUAGGGAAGAACAAAUGUGUAAGUAACUAUGCACGUCCUGACGGUACCUAAUCAGAAAGCCACGGCUAACUACGUG